UACGGAGGGUGCGAGCGUUGUCCGGAAUCAUUGGGCGUAAAGGGCGCGUAGGUGGCCCGGUCAGUCCGUGGUGAAAGCGCGGGGCUCAACCCUGCGUCGGCCAUGGAUACUGCCGCGGCUGGAGCACUGUAGAGGCAGGCGGAAUUCCGGGUGUAGGCGGUGGAAUGCGUAGAGAUCCGGAAGAACACCGGUGGCGAAGGGCGGCCUGCUGGGCCAGUGGGGAGGACC
rnacentral:rRNA from 1 species